CUUCUUUAUUUUCCAUACUCGAUUGGCGUUUAUAGCGCCACUACAUGUGGUGAUUCUGUCAUGAUAAAUCAUAGAAAACAGAAAUUCAAAGAGAAUACCAUUAAAAAUUUUAUUAAUCUACUAAUUUUAUGCAUCUUGUUCAUCAGGCCAUUUUAUAUUAAUAGCGACGUUUCGACGCCAUUUUUAAAAUUUUGCAAUUUUACUUUUCGGUGCAUGUUAUCAUUGCAUUUCAUGUUUUAAUUGUUUAAUAGUGUGAUAUAUUCAUUUUCUUUCUUUAUUUUUAUAGAUUGACGACAAAUUAAGAGUGGAAGAGUGUUCACUUUGGUGCUACUGAAAAAAAGUGUUUUUACCUUGGAGAAUUUUAUAGUUAAUUCAGGAACAUUAGAAGAACUUCGGAUACCAUUAAAUUAUAAAAUUAUGGAGCAUUGGUUGUAUUAGUCCUCAUUUGCCCAGGAAAGUAGUCCUAAAGAAUGCAUGAAGCUGCCUUUUUUUCCGUUGGGAACAGAGACAGUGUGCUGAAAAAAGGAUUUAUGACAAUGAACUGAUUGUCCCACCAAUGAGAAGGAAUUGCAGUUAAUUGUGGUGCCACUGAAACAACAUAUGCUUUUGACGUCUUCACCUUGUAACAUUAUGUAGUUAA